AGAGUUUGAUCAUGGCUCAGAUUGAACGCUGGCGGCAUGCCUUACACAUGCAAGUCGAACGGUAACAGGUCUUCGGAUGCUGACGAGUGGCGAACGGGUGAGUAAUACAUCGGAACGUGCCCAGUAAUGGGGGAUAGCUCGGCGAAAGCCGGAUUAAUACCGCAUACGCCCUGAGGGGGAAAGUGGGGGACCGCAAGGCCUCACGUUAUUGGAGCGGCCGAUGGCUGAUUAGCUAGUUGGUAGGGUAAAGGCCUACCAAGGCGACGAUCAGUAGCUGGUCUGAGAGGACGAUCAGCCACACUGGGACUGAGACACGGCCCAGACUCCUACGGGAGGCAGCAGUGGGGAAUUUUGGACAAUGGGGGAAACCCUGAUCCAGCAAUGCCGCGUGUGCGGAGAAGGCCUUCGGGUUGUAAAGCACUUUUGUCAGGGAAGAAAUCCUUUGGGCUAAUACCCUAGGGGGAUGACGGUACCUGAAGAAUAAGCACCGGCUAACUACGUGCCAGCAGCCGCGGUAAUACGUAGGGUGCAAGCGUUAAUCGGAAUUACUGGGCGUAAAGCGUGCGCAGGCGGUUGUGUAAGACAGGUGUGAAAUCCCCGGGCUUAACCUGGGAAUUGCAUUUGUGACUGCACGACUAGAGUGUGUCAGAGGGGGGUGGAAUUCCACGUGUAGCAGUGAGAUGCGUAGAUAUGUGGAGGAACACCAAUGGCGAAGGCAGCCCCCUGGGAUAACACUGACACUCAUGCACGAAAGCGUGGGGAGCAAACAGGAUUAGAUACCCCGGUAGUCC
rnacentral:rRNA from 1 species